rnacentral:lncRNA from 1 species
GGCAAAAGUACGUUUCUGCUGUCUUCUCUUAGAAUCACCCCAAACAGGAACGGAGUAAGAACUAAAAACGCAACUUCAUUUUGGACAAUAGCAGAAGACACCUGUAACUUCGAACCCCCGUUGUAUCAGCAGAGGGCCUGGGAGGAGCGUCAGACCCGGAUGCCUGAAGGCAGAGUUGGCAGUCCGAGGCACCAGCUACUGCUGAAGGUCAGCAAAAGGCAGCAGCUGAAGACGAGAGAGUUAUCUGCAAGUCUGAGUAAGGGACAGGCAGAGCCGCCAGAACUCUACUCCUAGUGCCAAGAAGCAGACAAGCCCAGAAGUGUAGCUGUAUUUAUGGGUCAGGCUUCGCAGGCAUCCCUCAGAGGAUGAAGAUGGAGCAGAAACGCACCGGAACAGCCGUGGCUCCUUCACGCACUCCAGUCUCUCUCCCCAAGCUCGCUCACGUGGAGGGCGGGCGAAGGUGACCCCCUCCGGAGAGGCAUAGAGGAUGAAAUUGCAGCCCGGGUACAAGGAGAGUGAGAACACAGUGGGCAGGAGCAGCUCAGUGGCCCUGGAGGAUGUGCACGGGUGGUCAAUGUUCUGCCGCGUCCCAUCUGCCCAGGGCAGGACACGCAGAGCCAGGUUCUUUGGCCUCGGGCUCUGCAGUCAGACACAGGAGCGCAUAUUCGGACUGAUCCACUGACUAGCAACGCGACUCUGAGCAAGUGGCCUAACCUCGCUAAGCCUCAGUUUCCUCAGCUGCAAAACAGGGAUGAGAACCACACAACACGGGGUUAUUGCAAAGACAGAAGGAAGGCGGCUUCCUACCGCAUCGACGUCAUUCUCAGGGAGCCUGUUGCCACAUGGUGGCCAGAGGGCUGCCAGCAGCUCCAGACUGACCAACGAUCAGCUCGGCAGCCCUGCGCCGGGGGGUGGCCUCUGUCGACCACCCCUGCCAAAGCCCUGGGUCUGACUUGAGGAGUGAUCUCAGAUAAAGAACAAGGUGGGGGCUCCCCAGACGUCAGUCCAGAACGGCUUCAGUUCAGGCAUGUUUUGUUGUUGUCGCUGUUGAUCUUGUUAUCAACCCUCUGAGGAGGACAAUUAAAUGAAGUGGUUUAACUGAAUAGAGAGCCAACCUGACAAAAUUGAGUAAUUUUUACACUCUCGGUGGUCUCUUUGUGUGAGGCAAUACUUUAACUGCCCCGAGCCCCGAGCUGAGGAGACCCACAGGACAUUCAUUUCUUAGUGGGCUCUCUGCAACCUCAUUUCCAUUUUCUGAAGGCUCUUCUCCAACUGUGCAGGCCCUUCCGAGGAGCCGUUUGGAGCUGUAAUAACAGAACUUAUUACAGAUUUGACACCACAAAGGUUUUACUCUCUUUUCCUUAUUACGACAUUUUCAUCCUUAGAAAGUCACUCUAGGAAAACAAUAGGUUCCAGCUGUCCCCGUACUAGUCCCUGAGCACAGUCGCUGUCACUCCUGCUGACGAGUGUGUGACCUGGGACUGUCGGUCACCUCUCCUGUAGAAUGGGGAUGAUGUUGCUUUCCAGCCUGCAUCAUGGGAAUCGUUAGAUCCAGGGAAGCUAAUCAAGUGAAGGUAUUUUGAAAAUUACAAACAUGGAGAGUAAGAGUUACAAGAAAGACUCCUAAAUGUCCAGGCAGAGAGACCCUUGUCGGCCCCCUGCAGCCACUUGAGGGUCGCCAGAGCGAGUUUGAUGGGCUAGCGCCCUGGGGAAGGAACUCACUCUCCUUGGGAGCCCCACCCAAGCCUGAGCAGGGAGAUGCUGAUUGCGCACUGCCGGAAACGGCUGUGGCCUCAAAAACUCUGCAGGCCUCAGACGCCCUCUGACCGACUCCUAUGGGGUCCUUUAACAUCUCUAGGACAGAAUUUAAACCCUCUGUAUCCUCUGAUGCGGCAGUUCCACUGAAGGGACUGUCCCUCGCUGAAGCGCUCAUUCCUGCAUGCCUCAGCGCGCUUCAAAGGGGGCUCGCUGUACGGCGUUUGUCAUAGAAAUGCUGCAAAAUACCCCCAUGUUUAUCAAUAAGGAGAGACGUAAAUGCAUUAAAGUACACCUGCAUUAUGGUACGCUUGGCAGGCCUUACAAAGAAUGAAGUAGGUUCAUAGCUCGGUUUCUUGAAAAAAACGUGAGUUGCAGAACAUAUCACUUACUCAUUCAGCAUUCAACAAGUGAGAUUGGCCACCUCUCCUGGCCCUCUCCUGGGAACACAAGAGUGAGUAAGAGACACAGUCCUGGUUUUCAUGGGGCCUAUUUUUGGCAUAAAAAAAUUUAGUGCCACAUCCUCACAAAAUGCCUACUUACAGCAGCCGGCCUUAGAGAGGGGAUUGCAGGGCGGGCCAGGGGCACGCGGGAAGGAGGAAGCUGUUGUCACUUCCUCCGUUAGACAGGUCUGUGCCAUUUGAAUAUUUUACAGUGAGUAUUUGCCACUUUGUAGUUUUGUAAAACCAAUAGAGGGAACAAAAUAAAUGACCUGCGUGCAUGUGCAAGCACACCCCAUCUACAAGGAGCCAGCCUGUGUGGAGGCACAGGGCAGGUAGGCAAGGGUCCAUGGCAGAGAUGGACAUUCCCCAGGUCCCCAGGGGAGGCAGCUGAAAGCAAAUUGCUUCUGGAGGGAGCAAGCUGCUAAGGCAUUCCUUCUGCCAUGUGCUCCUGUGCCAGGAGCCAGGCCUGGCCUGAGAACGUGGCCCCUCGGUCCUGGGUACAGAGGUGGCAGACGCCAACUGGCAUGCGCUGGGCCCACUUUGGGAUGGGAGGCAGGCUCUGUCCCUGCCCCGACCAGGACUUCAUCGUCUUCUCCAUGCCCAUAUCCUGCCCCCUCCAGCACAGGGCAAUGUGCCCCCGUACCAUCAUGCAGAGUUCAAGGGCUAGCUGUACCUCUAACAGGCAACUCCCUUCACCUCUCUGUGCCUCUGCUUUCUCAUCUAUAAAAUGGAGAUGAUGACGAUGAUAGUUAUGCUGAGGGUUUGGUAAGUGAAUACAAGUAAAAUGCUUAGAACAGUGCCGAGCACUGGAUUCAACCUCCUGCCCCUUCCUGCCUCUUCAACACAGACGAGUGUGUGCGCAGAGGGGAGAGCUCUGAGGGUCUGCUAACUUCAUUUCCGCACCAACACAGCCUUGACGGGACAGGUGAGUUUCAAGCACCAGAACCUGCAGUGUAAAAAUGAUGCUAAAAUUUUCAGUGACUCUUUUGUGGAUAUGACUAAAUGUAAAUUUCUUGCUGUUAUAUGUAUUUUCAUCUUGGACUAUUGUCGCAGUUAAAUUUAUGUCCCAACUUGAAUGGAUUACAGGGUACCCAGAGAUUUGGCUAAACGCUAUUUGUGGGUGUGUCUGUGAGAAUGUUUCCAGAUGAGGUUAGCAUUAGAAUCAGUGGACUCAGUCAGGUCGACUGCCCUCCCCAGUGUGGACGGGCCUCAUCCAAUCCACUGAGGGCUUCCGCAGAACAAAGGAGGAGGAAUGGAGAAUUUGUCCCUUCUCUGCCUGACUGCCGAGACGUUGGUCUUCUCCUGCCCUUGGACUGGGAACUACAUCACUGGCUCCCCUGGUUCUCAGGCCAUUGGACUCAGACUGAAUCACACCAAUGGCUUUCCCAGCCUCCAGGUUUCAGACAGCUGGUCCUGGGACUGCUCAGCCUCCAUAACCGUGUGAAUUAAUUCCUCAUAAUCUCUCUCUCUAUCUAUGUAUAUACUAUUGGUUCUGAUUCUCUGGAGAAACCUGGCUAAUACAGCUAUGUAUUUUUUUAGCUUAACUUUUUAUUUUGAAAUAAUUUUAGACUUAUAGAAGAGUUCCAAAGAUAGCAGAGUCUCCAUACACCUUUCACCCAGGCUCCCCAGUGUUCAUGUCUUACAUAACUGGAUACAAUGACCAAAACUAAGAAGUUAAUAUUGACGCAGCACUUUUAACUAAACUACAGACUUUAUUUGGAUUUCUUUUUUCUGUUCCAGAAUCUAAUCCAGGACCCCACAUGGCAUUCAGUCAUCACGUCUCCUUAAUCUCCUCUAAUCUGACACUGCCUCAUUCCUUUCUUGUCUUGCAUGACUUUGACACUUUGAAGGUCAGGCAUUUUGUAGGCUGCCCCUCAAUUUGCAUUUGGCUGAUGAUUUCUGAUGAUCAGACAGAGGUUAUAGAUUUGGGGAAGUACACCCACAAAGAGGAACACUUCUCAUCCCAUCAGAUCAGGGGGUAGGUGAGAUCAGCAUGUCUUAUUGCUGCUGUUGCUAGCAUCCAUCACUUGGUUAAUGUGGUGUCGUUUGUGUUUCUCCACUGAACAGUUACUAUAUUCCCCUCUCCACACUCUAGGCAUUAGAAUUGAGUCACAGGUGCCACCUCGGGAGUGUAGUGGUUAAGUUCGUGUGCUCCACUUUGGCAGCCCAGGGUUCAUUGGUUCAGAUUCCUGGUGUGGACCUACACACUGCUCAUGAGGCCAUACUGUGGCGGCAUCCCACAGACAAAACAGAGAAGGAUUGGCACAGGCGUUAGCUCAGUGCCAAUCUUCCUCACCAAAUAAAAAGAAAAAGAAAAGAGAAGUGAGUCACAGAAUCCAGCCCACACUCCAGGGGAGGGGAGGUAAUCUCCUCCUGGAGGAAGAAGACAUGUCAAAGAACUUGUAGAGAGAUGUUAAAGCCAUAUAUAAUUAGUACAUAAACAAUAAAUUUAAUAAUUAAUUUUAUCAAUUAAUAAAUAUUUGAAAGGAGAUACUUUGAGGCUAUGCAAAUAUCCUAUUUCUUCUUAAACUUUCCCUCACAUGUUAGCAUUCAUCGGGGGACCUCGCCUUCAGCAAGGAUGGUUGUGAUAUUCUAUUUCCCUCAUUCCUUCUCUAUUUAUUAAUUGGAAUUCUUCUGUAAGGAAGUGUCAGCCUUUCCCCUCCAUUUAUUUACUUAUUCAAUCAUUUAUGAGUAUAGGCUCAUGAAUAUGUAUUUUCCUCUUUGGUUAUAAUCCAACACCAUCAUUACGUAUUUUGUUGCUGACAACGUUCCAGUUUGGCCAUUAAGAGUUCUUUCAGCUUGGCUCCUGUGACUUUUUAAUAUGUCCCCAUCGUUUUGGCAUUUGUUUUUGGUUUUGUUUUGCUAUGCUUUAUUUCUCUUUUUUGGUGCAGAUCAUGGAUUUUGAAAGCAUCAGUCAGACAUGUUACUCUCCAACUCCAAACCCUGCAGGGGGUUCUACUGUGCUUAGAAUAAACUGCAGAGUUCCUCCUCUAGCACGAGUCCCUGCGUGAUUUGGCCCCACACAUCUCCCAUCUCACUUUUUCCGCUCUCUUGUUUCUUGCUGACCUCGGCUUCCUUUGGCUUUCCUCUUGUUCUUGUGAUACAUCUAGUUUGUUCUCUGCAAGCCCUUUGCUCCUGCAUCCCCUCUGCCUCAAGCAGCAUCCUUGCCCAGGUUUCAUCUUGGCUGACUCCUUGUCCUUCAAGCCAAAGCUCCCUGAUCACAUGUGAAGUGGCAGGAACACUCAGAAGGGCAAAUGAAGAGAGUUUAAUGAAGGUGCAUUUUACAGAGGUGUGGAGGGGCUCACGGGAACCAGGAAGGAAGAGUGAAGCGCUGAGGAGGAGCCAGACAGGGGCUGUUACCAAUCCCUGGCUUGAAGGGGCAAGAGGAGGAAACAGUGUUAAUAGUGCUAGCAAGAGCUGGGGCCACAGGUAGAGAAUCUCAACCACUGUCCAAACCGUGGUCCCAGCUGGGGCAGUGGUAGGUCUUGGAGUGUAUUAACCUUUCUCUCCUACUCUUUGAUCUCCUGUCAGUGCUCCCCAUUGGUCAGACCCAACAGAGAGCUGGAGGACAAGCCUGCUGCGCUCCACAGAGGUCAGCCUCCUGGGAUACAGGGCAGGGUGGAGAAGGAUGGAGAAUGGGUCUCCAGGGGCAAAUGGAGAAUGCCCAGCUCGCUACCCAACAUAAACUGUGUCUAUCAUCAGUCUAUCAUUUCACCUUGUUUCUCCCCACCCCAUCGUGCAUUUACCAUUAUCUGAAACUGUCUUAUUCAUCUAUUGUGUGUUUACUGUCUACCUCCCCCCAGAAUAAUGUGAUUUCCAUGGAGAAGGGACCAUCUUAUUCACCACUAUAUUCACAGUCCCUGGCACAUAGUAGGUGUUCAAUAAAUAUUUAUGCAUGGAAAAAAAUGAAUUCACGUUCAGAAGCCAAAACACAUGCUCAGGCCCAGGGUACUCCCGGCUGGUUUUUCUCCCUUCAGAAUGCUGAGAGAUAAUCAGCUGGGAUGAUCUGUGCCAUUCCAGAAUUAGAACUCCUCUAGGACCUCUGAUCCACCCUCUCUUCCCAUACUCCCCCAUCAGCCAGCUGCACUCCUGGCACAACAGUGAUGUUUCAUCCGCAGGUGCCUCUGCCAUCUCUCCCAACUUCCUAACCCUGAGACCCAGCUCCACCUGCCUCCCCCUGAAGCCUCUCUGACGUCUGCAGCCUUCUUACCCUCAUCAUUCCUCUUCACAGACGUGCCCAUCGCUCCUACUGCUCACCUAUUUCUCUAGACCUGUGCUGGCCUGUGCAGUCACCACUAGCCACACUAUCCAUCCAGCACUUGCAUUGUGGCUGUCCAAACCGAGAUGUGCCGUACGUGUAAAGCACACACCAGACUUCAAAGAAUUAGUGUGAAUAAAAGAAUGUAAAAAUCUUGAUUACAUGUUGAAAUGAUAACAUUUUGGGUACAUUGGGUUAAAUACAAUAUAUUAUUGACUAAUUUCUCCUGUUUGUUUUCAAUAUAGCUACUAGAAGCUUUAAAAUUACAUAUGUGGCUCACAUUGGAUUUCUGUUGGACAGAGCUGCUCCAGACUAAAUGUCUCCGCCAUGAAGAGCCACCGAUGGUUUCUGGGAGAAGUGUGACCUGUCCAGAGGACUGCAUGUGGGACUGGCCCGGGAAAGCUUCGAGGAGGUGAACCUGAAACUUGACUUUGAAGAAUGAACCUCAGAGCAGAGCUUGGUGUAGAAUUCACUUGCUAUCUGCACUCACUCUGCUCCCUGUGUUUCUUAAUUCUGUCUUGUCACUUUGCUUUUCAAGGUUCCUUGCUUUCUUUCUCUGCCACCAUGUUCCCUAUAACAUGUGCUCCUCCUCCCUCUUGAGCCCCAGCAAUCUUGGCACUGGCCUUGCUCUGUCUGGCUUUCUCAGUCAACAUUUCUUUCAUUAUUAAAUUUGCUUCUCUCAAAAUACAUUUUCAAAUGUUCAUACUAUAGCUUCUCUUUCUAUCAUAGGAAAAAUUUAUCUUAGAGAACUUUAACACUGAAAGGGACAUCAUAAACCAACUACUCUUCAUUUCUUCAAGUUCAGAGUAAAGGAAACUGGCUUACACAGGAAAAGCGACUUGCCUAAGGUCACUGGAAUCAGAGCCAAAGCUGGAAGAAGAGUCUGUGUCAUCUGGUUCGGGUAAACUGGCUUCUCUGUACCUGGCCACCUCCUGUGGGUAUAACCUGGAGAUUAAGCUGACAACUACACAGCAGCACGAGCUUUCAGACACUAAGAAGAGACACAAUGGCCCUCUGAAUGAAGAUUGAUGUCCCCUAAGACAAUCCAGGAAUACUUUCAGUCAUGGGGCCCUGGGGUUUGCAACCAAACUCAGUUGUCUUGGGGUCAAUUAAACUGACCUUUGGAAAGCACUCUCCAUGGACUCUCCAAGUCAGUCUCUGAUUUGCUUUCUUUUUUCAUCCUUUUCAAACACAAGUGAAUGACAUAAAUUUUGUGACUGAUAAGCCUCCCUUUUUCUGAUCCUCCAAGAGAAAAUGUCUGGCCCGGAAAUAACCAUUUUUUUAAGACUGCUGUCCAUUCUUGGCAAAAAAGUCAUGUCAAACAUAGCCCUGGGCUUCCUCAAACUUGCAACCUGCCUUCCGCCAUCAUUUUAACAGAGAGGGCUUCCCAGACAUCAUGAACUUUGCAUGUAAUCUUUGUUUGUCUUUCAAAGAGAUUUGGGGCUGGAUUUUCCAUGACAGUCUGUUAAUGUCAACAUAACCAUUGGUGAUAUGUUGUGUUGUGGAGGCAGUGGAGGUGAGCAAAAGAGCCAUCGAACCACCCUAAAUGGACCAGUCCCACUUACUCUUCCGGCAUUGUCUUCAGAUAGCUAUCACAUCCCUUCCUGAAGACGUCCAGGAGGGGACACACCAUGCCUUGACUCUGUGGCCUCAACCUGAUGCUUUAUCAUUAGACCUUCACAAAGCUGAUUCUCCUGCCAAAACUGUAAUGCCUGGAACAUUCGUUUACUCUCUUCCUUUCUCAGGUCAGUCCCUAAAACAAGGAAAUGGCUGCUCAACCUUGUUCCUCUCCUUGCGUUCUUGCAGAUGACCACUGUUUCUGUUGCGACCGGCACCAAAGGCUCUCGAGGGUACAGGCAGCUUGCAGGGAAGGUUUCCUUGGACUCGUGGCCCCAGAUCCUCCUCCUGGGCUGCCUUUCAGACAUCCACCCUUGGAAAGCUGGUAGCUCGCUUCUCUGCUGCCUCUUCACUUCUUCGAGAUGCCAAGGAACCUACUGCAUGCAAAGUGACAGUUCUUGCCAUGUUUGAAUGUGCACUUACAGUUCCUAAUUAAAUAAUAACUUUCACAGCACUCUGCUGCUCUAAGCCUGAACAGCAUUUCCAUUACCUCCUCUGCUAAAGUAAAAAUUACAGGCCUGUCAUUUCCUGGAUUUUCUCAUAAAUGCAAGCAUUAAAUUAUACCUACACUCAUCCAUUAGUAACUUCUCUUUGUAGUGGGUGUUUAAAUGUCUUAUAAUGACUAUCCUAUCUCUCCAACUUUCCAUCCCUCUCAGAAUAUUAAUGAAUUCCACCUUGUUCUAGAGUUCCUGUCUAGUUUGUCUUCCAAUUUCUUGAUGCAAUAGGAAUUUGAUUUUAUAAGGUUCUUUUUUCCUUCUCUUUGGGAAGGGAAAAGAGAAACAUCUUUCUUAUGCAGAGUUCCCAUUCUUCUUUGAAGGGCAAGAACCUGAUAGAAGACAACUCACCUUUCAGGUUUUAUAUUUUUCUUUGAGCAGAAGUACAGACAGUUUGGGUCCAGUUGCAGACAAUUGAGUCCCUUCAUCUGGGGUAUUUAAUUAUUUUUUGCCACUUGAUCACACUCUGAUGACAACACAUGUUCUGGGUGAUUUAUUGACUCUUAGUCCUCACAACAACCCUAUGUUCCAAUUUUACAGAUAAGCAAACUGAGGCAAAGAGGUUAAUGGACUUUCUCAAGAUCACGCAGCUGGCAAGUGUCAGACUGAACCCAAGCAGUCUGGCCACAGAGUCCACAUAUCUGUCAGGGUUUUUUGAGUUACAGGUGACAGAAGCUCAACUCAAAUUAGCUACACAAAAAGGGCUUAUACAACCACUCCUUGAAAAGAACCAGAAGGGAGUUUCUCUCUGAGACAACUGAGGCUGGGAACUUUGCCCUCAGGACUCUAUCUCUGAUCUCCAGGUGUUUCUAUAUCUCCUUCAGGUUGGUUUCUUCUGCAAGGCAGGAUUCAGGGCUACCAAUUAUUUCUUAGCUGACAUCAGCCCAGCUUCACAGUGAAAAGAAGGCUCUUAGCUCCAUGCUCCAAUUUAAAAAAAGAAAACAAACAGGAAAGGAUAUUGACUGGCCAGAUUGGGUCACAUGCCCAGCCCCUGGACCAGUCACUGUGGCCAGGAGGGUGAGGUACCAGGAUCAUUCAGCCUGGGUUAAGCGCCCAUCCUUGGAGAAGUUAUUGUGGAGUAAGAGAUAAAGUAGCUUCUGGCAAAUCACAUUUUAGAGUCGUGGAAUAAGAGAAAGACAAGACAAUUCCCUAGAAGGGGGAGAGCAGAGUUUUGCCACCGGAAUAAUUACCGCAAGCUGAACAGCUUCAGGAACAGCAGUUAUCUUACCCUUUAUAUUUCUCUGAGUUUUCUAGUUGUUCCUGAAGUGGAUAGAACAGAUCCACAGAUCUGCCAGCACCAGACUUGCAGGUCAACGGUCAGCUGGAACUGAGGACCAGGCGCUCCCUUUAGGUGGCAUGAGGACAGUCCACUUGGCCAAAGCUGCCAUCAAGACUGCUUUGCUCAUUUAUGUGGCCUGCCUUAUCCCUGUAGGCAUUUGAGUUGGAGGCGAGUGGCUUAGUGUGUCACCAAAUAGCACAGUCAGUCACUGGGAUGACCAACUGGAACAUCCGUUUCCUCCAUCAUCUUUGGUCAACAGCCCAUGAAGAAAGCUAAUUCUUUGAAUAAGAAAGAGGCAAGACAAAGGAACUGGCAGUUAAAAACAAGAGUUUUCUUGACAGAAUGGCUUAUGGCAUUUGACAGAAUUUUUCAAGGCGCAGAAAAACAAGUUUGACAGUGUGCGUUUUAAGCAGAGAUGGGUACAUGGCACUUUGAAAGUCAAUCAGUGCCAGCCUUUGUGUGGGGUGGGAGUUGGGAGGGAGGGGGACUUUGUCUCUCUCUCCCUUCUUCUUUCCACCCAGAGCUUCAGUCUGCCCUCUUUAGAUGGCUGCAUGAAAUAGGAAAACCCAUUUCCCUCUUGUUCCCACAAAUUUCCAGGGCGCUCUCUACCUUGACAUUCCCUUUGUGAAAAUGCCCAGCAGCUCCUGGAAAGCCAGGGGCCCCGGGGCAUCUUACAACGCUGAGCCUUUCAAAAUAUAGUUCUGGAGAGUCUUUGCUGCAUAAACCGGAGGCGUUUUCUAGCCAGAUGCCUAUUGAAAAACUUUGAGAGCUUAGAGAAAAGAUUUUGUUUUCCCUGAGAGGCUGGGACGGAAUGGGCUAGUAGUGGAAACACAGGAUGAAAGUUUUAUGUUCCACAUCCAAUGUUCAUUUUUCUCCACAUCCGAAGCUGUAAAAAAUAUAAAGAGCUUUGGUGGGAAGGAGAGGGCGGACCCUGAGCUGGGAAGUGGAAAGCGAGGGAGUAGGAGGUAAUCACUUAGGAAAAGACAUCACAUUGGUCAAGCAAAAGUGGCUCUUCCUAGUCCCCUCUCACUGAGCACCCCUGAGAGGAUGAGUCUCUUGCUUCCUUUUCCGGGAUUAUUGCUUCCAUUAUCACGCUUGGGGCAGAGAGUAAACUCGGCUGCGGUGCUGGCUGUCUCCUUCCGCCGUCCCUUGUGGAAUAGAGCCCGUGUUUGUGGAGCAAUUCCGUGUUCCCGACGGCUUUGCGGCUCCUCUGGGCACAGUUGUCCUCC